UGCUUUUUGAAUAUAUAAAAAGUAUUACCUGCCCAAUGAUUAAUUUUAAAUGGCCGCAGUAUAUUGACUGUGCAAAGGUAGCAUAAUCAUUUGUUUUAUAAAUUAAAACUUGUAUGAAUGGAAAAAUGUAAAUAUGACUGUCUUUUAUUUAUAUAUAAAAUUUGCUUUUUCAGUGAAGAAGCUGAAUCUUUUUAAAAAGACGAAAAGACCCUAAUGAGUUUUAAAUAUUUAUGUAAUAUUUAUAUAAAAUAUUUUUAGUUGGGGUGAUUAAAGAAAAAAUCUUCUUUUUAAAGAUUUAAAUAAUAAUUAAUGAGCCAUUAAUAAUGAAUAAAAGUUUAAAUUACCGUAGGGGUAACAGCAUAAUUUUUUUUAAGAGUACAUAUUGACAAAAAAGAUUGUGACCUCGAUGUUGGUUUAAGAAAAUUUUAUAAUGGAGUAGUUAUAUAAAUAAGUCUGUUCGACUUUUAAAUUCUUACA
rnacentral:rRNA from 1 species